AUGAAGAUUACGAUCUAUUAUCAUUUAUGGUUCACAAACAUCUAUAUAGAGUUUUUUGGAAUUACUUACUCAGCACAAGAGUUCAUUAUCGUUGCGGAUUGCCCCGGAUCUCUAUUUCAAUGUGUGGUGUUGUUAGUUGUAUUACACCAAUUUCUGAUUGGAAUCACUCGGAUUUCAUAUAGUACGACAAUUAUUAAUUUGUUUUUGAAGUUUAAUCAGUGUUAUGAUAUGGAUCUUCUUCAAGUUUUGUUCUCUAAACUUUACGCCAGUCUGCAUAUAUUGAGAAGGGUUUGUAGAUAUUUGGUACUCCCUUUGUUUUAUCAAUUAAGCAUGGUUUAA